UUCAUGGAGAGUUUGAUCCUGGCUCAGGACGAACGCUGGCGGCGUGCCUAAUACAUGCAAGUCGAGCGGACAGAUGGGAGCUUGCUCCCUGAUGUUAGCGGCGGACGGGUGAGUAACACGUGGGUAACCUGCCUGUAAGACUGGGAUAACUCCGGGAAACCGGGGCUAAUACCGGAUGCUUGAUUGAACCGCAUGGUUCAAUUAUAAAAGGUGGCUUUUAGCUACCACUUACAGAUGGACCCGCGGCGCAUUAGCUAGUUGGUGAGGUAACGGCUCACCAAGGCGACGAUGCGUAGCCGACCUGAGAGGGUGAUCGGCCAC
rnacentral:rRNA from 1 species